rnacentral:sRNA from 1 species
UAGUAACUAGAUUUCGGGUCGGUGCAUA